AGGACUCAUCAAAAAGAUCACUACUUGGAAUCUAGAUCUUUGUUGGAAAGGGAAGAGAAAGAGAAGCUUAAUGAGCACAUUGAAGUACUUAACAGAAAGAAGAGGGAAGACUUCUGGAUGAAACCUCUGUGUGUACCUUAACAUUCACGUGGAAGUAGUAAAAAUAAGAUUCUGGGUGCAGUUCUCCUCCAAUGACAGGAAAAAAAACAAAGAGAAUUUGAAGAAUACGUUAGAGACAAAUACAUUACAACCAAAGUUGACUUCAGGGGACUUUUGAAGGAGAUCAAAUUUAUAACAAAUAAUUUAAACAGCUAAGAAGCUAAUCUAAGAAUGACCAGCACCUGAAAGAUGUAGACAACAUUUUGCAGAAUGAUAAAUGGUAUUCAGUACUGGACUGUGCCUGAGGAGAGGCUUCAACUGAAUGUGGAUGUUGAUGACCUGGACUGUCAGGGUCCACCUCUACCUCCCAGAGCCUCAGAGCCCACAAGACAAAGUAA
rnacentral:lncRNA from 1 species